GAGCGGCGAACGGGUGAGUAACACGUGAGUAACCUGCCCCUGACUCUGGGAUAAGCCUGGGAAACUGGGUCUAAUACCGGAUAUGACANUUACCCGCAUGGAANGGGUGUGGAAAGUUUUUUCGGUUGGGGAUGGGCUCGCGGCCUAUCAGCUUGUUGGUGGGGUAGUGGCCUACCAAGGCGACGACGGGUAGCCGGCCUGAGAGGGCGACCGGCCACACUGGGACUGAGACACGGCCCAGACUCCUACGGGAGGCAGCAGUGGGGAAUAUUGCGCAAUGGGCGGAAGCCUGACGCAGCGACGCCGCGUGGGGGAUGACGGCCUUCGGGUUGUAAACCUCUUUCAGCAGGGACGAAGUUGACGUGUACCUGUAGAAGAAGCGCCGGCUAACUACGUGCCAGCAGCCGCGGUAAUACGUAGGGCGCAAGCGUUGUCCGGAAUUAUUGGGCGUAAAGAGCUCGUAGGUGGCUUGUUGCGUCUGCCGUGAAAGCCCGUGNUUAACUGCGGGU
rnacentral:rRNA from 1 species